rnacentral:misc_RNA from 1 species
GGGUCAGUUCAUCGCGUACAUCGAUGGCGCCCCGGACAUCGUGAACGUCGCCUGGGGCCAGCGCUUCCCCGGCGGCGAAAUGCCCGGCGACUCCGCCGUAGUCGUCGUUUGCCGCGGCAAGGAAGCGCCGCCCUCGACUGGCUCGGGCCCCCUCGGACCGCCCGGGAUUCCGCCGGGAAUGCCCGCAUUGCCACCGGGGCCGGCGGGGAACCAGUAACGCGCUCCAGGCUGCUCCCCCCGCUCCCCCGCUCGUCCUGAGCUUGUCGAAGGGCGAGCGCUCGUCGGCCCACCAAUGGCCGUGCCGACCGCUCUACGCGGGCUUCUCCGCGUGGGAACGCGCAGUCCUGAUGCUGCAGGCGGGACCGAAGAUCGCAGGUAGUCGCCGAGGUGGACGGGUUCUGGUACUAGCGUUCCGCCUCGGGGCUUCCGUGUGGUGA